rnacentral:siRNA from 1 species
UAGAGCAUCUCCAGUGGUUAAGAU